GUGCCACCGCGGUAAUACGUAGGGUGCAAGCGUUAAUCGGAAUUACUGGGCGUAAAGCGUGCGCAGGCGGUUUUGUAAGUCUGUCGUGAAAUCCCCGGGCUCAACCUGGGAAUGGCGAUGGAGACUGCAAGGCUAGAAUCUGGCAGAGGGGGGUAGAAUUCCACGUGUAGCAGUGAAAUGCGUAGAUAUGUGGAGGAACACCGAUGGCGAAGGCGGCCCUCUGGACCGGUACUGACGCUGAUGCGCGAAAGCGUGGGGAGCAAACAGG
rnacentral:rRNA from 1 species